UACGAAGGGGGCUAGCGUUGCUCGGAAUUACUGGGCGUAAAGCGCACGUAGGCGGAUUUGUAAGUCAGGGGUGAAAUCCCGGGGCUCAACCUCGGAACUGCCUUUGAUACUGCAAAUCUCGAGUCCGGAAGAGGUGAGUGGAAUUCCUAGUGUAGAGGUGAAAUGCGUAGAUAUCGGGAGGAACACCAGUGGCGAAGGCGAUCAUCUGGGGUUGUUCUGACACUGAGGAGCGAAAGCUAGGGGAGCAAACGGG
rnacentral:rRNA from 1 species